GACGAACGCUGGCGGCGUGCUUAACACAUGCAAGUCGAACGAAGUGGCGAACGGGUGAGUAAUACGUGAGUAACCUGCCCUCCUUUUUGGGAUAAGCCUUGGAACCGGGGGUUAAUACCAAAAUAAGGGGGAUGGGCUCGCGGCCUAUCAGCUUGUUGGUGGGGUGAUGGCCUACCAAGGCGGGGACGGGUAGCCGGCCUGAGGGGGUGACCGGCCACAUGGGGACUGAGAGACGGCCCAGACUCCUACGGGAGGCAGGAGUGGGGAAUAUUGGGCAAUGGGAGAAAGCCUGCUCCAGCCAUGCCGCGUGUGUGAAGAAGGUAUUCGGAUUGUAAAGCACUUUAAGUUGGGAGGUGUUGCUUCAAAAAUAAGCACCGGCUAACUUCGUGCCAGCAGCCGCGGUAAUUC
rnacentral:rRNA from 1 species